AAGACAUUGCGUGACUGUGCAAGUACAAGAACUAAGAGAAACUCAUAAGCACUUGGCAGAGAAGGUUCAAAGUGCACUAAAAGUGACAGACACUGGUUCCUGCAAAGAAAGGCCUGUGCUGUGAAAUACCUAACAGCUCAUCCAGAAUAAGAGUCAAAAUAAGGUUACCAUCUUUUGUCUAAUUUUUACCAAGGUUUGGAGGUCAACUGCAGUGAGGUCUCUAUACCACAGAGUGUUGUUGGCGUCUCACAUGGCCAUUCAUCAGCUCAAUACAAACAAGUCUUCACGGAGGUGGAGUUUCCUCCUCACCUGUUGCUAAACCAGGCAGCGUGGAUUGGCAUAUUCACUGACUUCAUGGCACGAAGGCCUACAAAAGCGGAACAACUUUUCACCAGUGCAAAAAUGUUCCAAAAGAUACUCUCUCUGUCCAAUACACUUGUAAGUGCAUUCUAGAAUAUAAAAAAUAGAGAGAGAUAAAUGUUCUGUUGAAAGAUAAUCUCCCAAAAUAUAAGUUUUUAUGUAAGACAGUGCUCUCAAGUCAUAAAUGGUAAAUUCUUCUGAAAGUCACAGAGGAAAUUACUCUUAAGACCUCUGUCUUGUUAAGUUAUCAUAGUAAUAAAAUCUCAACCUACUAAGGUAACUUUCUAAACAUGUCAGAGCUUGAAAGUCUCUUGUAAACCUCUAAAUACAAAGAAAACCUAAGUUUAUUUAUUGAAGUUCAAGCUGUAGAAAUCUGACAGCUUUGAGGACUUUAAAAGAUACUGAAUCAACUGCUAUAAAAGGAAAACAGUCUUGACAAUUUUAAUUCAUAUAGUAUUACAACUGAAGAAACUAUUUGAUGAUUUAUGAAGGGCACAUUUGCCGGCUGUGUUUUGGAGUUUUUGCAUGAAAAGUGAAUUUGUACUCAGACUGUUUGCAUCUUCAAAGACCCAUGAGCUUGGCUGUAGGGGCAUGCAACAUUAGGUUUGGAAAUAUAUGAAAUAAAUAUUGCUAUGCCUUAAGAAUGUGAUUUAACUGUCAAUUUGCUUUGAUACGUAGGUUUAAAGUUUUGGGUUAUUUUAUAUAUGCUAUUCAUGUAUAUCUGUAUUGGAGGCAUCCACUCGCUGCUUUAGAAGCUCCUGGAGAGUAGAAAUUGUCUCCAUGUAGCUCUCAGCAAUUAAUAAACACUGAAGGCAACUGGG
rnacentral:lncRNA from 1 species